GAGUUUGAUCCUGGCUCAGGAUGAACGCUGGCGGCGUGCUUAACACAUGCAAGUCGAACGAAACACCUUAUUUGAUUUUCUUCGGAACUGAAGAUUUGGUGAUUGAGUGGCGGACGGGUGAGUAACGCGUGGGUAACCUGCCCUGUACAGGGGGAUAACAGUCAGAAAUGACUGCUAAUACCGCAUAAGACCACAGCACCGCAUGGUGCAGGGGUAAAAACUCCGGUGGUACAGGAUGGACCCGCGUCUGAUUAGCUGGUUGGUGAGGUAACGGCUCACCAAGGCGACGAUCAGUAGCCGGCUUGAGAGAGUGAACGGCCACAUUGGGACUGAGACACGGCCCAAACUCCUACGGGAGGCAGCAGUGGGGAAUAUUGCACAAUGGGGGAAACCCUGAUGCAGCGACGCCGCGUGAGUGAAGAAGUAUCUCGGUAUGUAAAGCUCUAUCAGCAGGGAAGAAAAUGACGGUACCUGACUAAGAAGCCCCGGCUAACUACGUGCCAGCAGCCGCGGUAAUUC
rnacentral:rRNA from 1 species